rnacentral:rRNA from 1 species
UACGAAGGGGGCUAGCGUUGCUCGGAAUCACUGGGCGUAAAGCGUGCGCAGGCGGCUUUGCAAGACAGAUGUGAAAUCCCCGGGCUCAACCUGGGAACUGCAUUUGUGACUGCAAGGCUAGAGUACGGCAGAGGGGGAUGGAAUUCCGCGUGUAGCAGUGAAAUGCGUAGAUAUGCGGAGGAACACCGAUGGCGAAGGCAAUCCCCUGGGCCGAUACUGACGCUGAGGAGCGAAAGCGUGGGGAGCAAACAGG